GUUGAAGUUCUGUGUAUGGUGAGACAGUUUCAGCAUCAGACAUUUGUUUGGCCAUUAAGAAGCCAACAAGUAGAACAAUCGUUGUUACAUCCACGACAGGAACGGUAGUUACUGGUUACAGAAGAUUCAUCGGUUCACAAGUUUAUAUGAAAGACAGUCAUGGACAAUUUAGUGUCUCCAAUUCACCUCACUUGCACGUCUUUGGACUGUGGGAGGAAACCAGAGCACCUACAGUAAACCCACACAGACACGGGGAGAACAUGCAAACUCCACACAGAAAGGACCCGGACCGCCCCACCUGGGGAUCAAACCCAGGACCUUCUUGCUGUGAGGUGACAGUGCUACCCACUGAGCCACCGUGUCGCCCAAAUGGAUGGUUCUGAUGGAAACCUGUUUACCCACCCGAGGUUAAGGAACGAAGUCGAGACUGCCGUGCCGACAAUGCUGCUCCUGCCGGAUGUGACGGGAACCUGGCAUGUUUGCAUCAAGAAUGUCAAGAACUCACUACAGACUUUAUUACAGACCGGACUGAAUAAUAACUCUAUUACUAUUUAUUUAUUUGUUAUUGCUAGGUAUAACUUUAAGUUCAUUUUAAUUCUGUGUUUGUAUGAUUUGUGUAAAUCUUAUUCACUUAAAGUAUCCUCCAGACCACCCAAGAAGGAUGGGGGUUCCUGCUGAGUCUGGUUCCUAUCAGGGUUUCUUCCUAACCCUAACCCUGUUUAAGGGAGUUUUACCUUGCCACAGUCGCCCUCGGCUUGAUCAACAGGGGUUUUUGUAUCUGUCGGUCCUGGAUUUUGUAAAAUUGCUUUGAGACCAUGUCUAUUGUAAAA